CCGCACAAGCGGCGGAGCAUGCGGAUUAAUUCGAUGCAACGCGAAGAACCUUACCAAGGCUUGACAUGAACCGGAAAGAUCUGGAAACAGGUCCCCCACUUGUGGUCGGUUUACAGGUGGUGCAUGGUUGUCGUCAGCUCGUGUCGUGAGAUGUUGGGUUAAGUCCCGCAACGAGCGCAACCCUCGUUCUAUGUUGCCAGCACGUGAUGGUGGGGACUCAUAGGAGACUGCCGGGGUCAACUCGGAGGAAGGUGGGGACGACGUCAAAUCAUCAUGCCCCUUAUGUCUUGGGCUUCACGCAUGCUACAAUGGCCGGUACAAAGGGUUGCGAUACUGUGAGGUGGAGCUAAUCCCAAAAAGCCGGUCUCAGUUCGGAUUGGGGUCUGCAACUCGACCCCAUGAAGUCGGAGUCGCUAGUAAUCGCAGAUCAGCAACGCUGCGGUGAAUACGUUCCCGGGCCUUGUACACACCGCCCGUCAAGUCACGAAAGUUGGUAACACCCGAAGCCGG
rnacentral:rRNA from 1 species